rnacentral:rRNA from 1 species
CCCUUAGAGUUUGAUCCUGGCUCAGAUUGAACGCUGGCGGCAUGCCUUACACAUGCAAGUCGAGCGGCAGCGCGGGGGCAACCCUGGCGGCGAGCGGCGAACGGGUGAGUAACGCAUCGGAACGUGUCCUCUUGUGGGGGAUAACCAGUCGAAAGAUUGGCUAAUACCGCAUGAGAUCGAGAGAUGAAAGCAGGGGACCGCAAGGCCUUGCGCGAGAGGAGCGGCCGAUGCCGGAUUAGCUAGUUGGUGGGGUAAUAGCCCACCAAGGCGACGAUCCGUAGCUGGUCUGAGAGGACGACCAGCCACACUGGGACUGAGACACGGCCCAGACUCCUACGGGAGGCAGCAGUGGGGAAUUUUGGACAAUGGGGGCAACCCUGAUCCAGCCAUGCCGCGUGUGUGAAGAAGGCCUUCGGGUUGUAAAGCACUUUCGGACGGAACGAAAUCGUCCCCGUUAAUAGCGGGGAUGGAUGACGGUACCGUAAGAAGAAGCACCGGCUAACUACGUGCCAGCAGCCGCGGUAAUACGUAGGGUGCGAGCGUUAAUCGGAAUUACUGGGCGUAAAGUGUGCGCAGGCGGCGUCGCAAGUCGAGUGUGAAAGCCCCGAGCUUAACUUGGGAACUGCGCUCGAAACUACGGUGCUGGAGUAUGGC